GCUGAAGAUUGGGGGGAAAAGCCAGAGUAUGCAUAAAGUAAUACUUAGAAGUUCCAAGUCAGCAGUGGUACCAAAAAGUACACCGAGAGUAGAAGACGGACUGCAAGCAGUACAGUGACCACUUCUAGUGACAGACGAACAGGCCAUAAAACUACCUCACUUCUUUCGGGGUGGCUCUGAUCCCCAGGCGUAUUUCAUACUUUUAACUCUGACCCUCUCUGGCUAAUUAGACCUACGUGGACCCUCAUACUGAGGCUGGGCCAUCUGAUUCCCUAUCUAAGGAGGGCAUACCAUCUCUGAACAACAGCUGAAGCUAUCUGGUCUGAGCAAGCCAGUCUGCAAAGAAAGAAAAGCAAAACCAGGGACGAGGAGACAGAGUUUUGCGAUGCAAGUCAGGCUGGCCUCCAACUCCCCGUGACCCCGGCUGAGGCUGACAUUCAGCGUGCUCAGUGAGAAAAGACAUUUUUGUGGAGUUUCCAGCUUCACUUUCUUAGACCUGCCUCCAUCUUUGCUUUGGCAGCCAUGAAAUGGCCCUGCAACCGUAUUUAAACCCCCUUCAGGCUGGCUCGAGUUUCUGGGUGCCACAUGAAACUGAAAGGAUCCAACUUACUUUCUCAAUUGAAGGUCCAUAAAACAUAAAAGCACAACUAACAAAGGCAUUAAGAACAUGACGAGUUUUUUUGAAAAAUGAUACUUGCACAGGCAAUGAUUUCUUAGAGCAGACACUAAAAAGUUGGAACUUUAUCAAAAUUAACUUUUUUUUUCUUUUGGAAAGGCAUUGCUAGGAAACAGAAAAGUAACAUAGAGGCCAGGAGAAAACGUGCAGAACACCUACACCUGCCAAAAGGCCUACAUCCAGAAAAUGGAUUGUACGUGACCCUUUCCCCAUAGCAAGAGGUUACAGAGAAGCUGUUGUCUGCAGAGGAGGAAAAAAAGUGGAGGAAUCUCUGACUUCAAAUGGAGAUGUGUGAAAUGGGGUAAA